rnacentral:lncRNA from 1 species
UAAGCAUGUAUGGGAAUGUAGCAAUGCGCGUGCGUGUGUGUCUUACAGAUGUACAAAUGAUUGAUUACAUUAGUCAUAGGAUAGGAUUUAUGGAGAAUGAUUCUAAUGUAUAUUAAAUAGCUUUAUUCAGUUUUAUUACAAUUUUCAUAGCGAGCUUUGUAGAUCUUUUUUAAAAAAAAUUAAUUAAAAAAUAUUUAUAUUGUGCUUGUAUGUAUUGAUAGAUGUAUGGACGGAGUGGAAAGAAAUUGAAAAGAUUUAUUAUUCAAUUUAUUCCCAAAACUGGUGUAGUUGUUACGAUUAAAUACAGCAGCCAUAAAUCAAACCUGUACCGGACAGAUCAUGAAUCUUCUCAGCAAAGGUGUCAUUCGCUUCGAUCAAUUAACAAUGUACCUGAAUUACAUAUUAUAUAUUAUGACCGCGAUUACAGAAAUAAUAAUAUGGCAAAAAGUCGACAUUUCGAGUUUUGUCGGCUUCAGAACGUUGUUGAUCAUCGUCCUCCCAGGGCAAGGGACUUCGAGCUUCUUGAAUCACAAACUCAAGCAAUGAUUGUGCUACUGACCGAUCAAAGAGUGCAACUGAUGAGAGAACUCAUAGCUAGGAUAUAGGAAGAUGUAUGCUUGGAAGAAAUCGUUCAGCCAGAUCAUGUCAAUAAUUAGAAAGUUGAAGAUCAAGCAAAUCAAAUUCUUGUCGUACGUGCACGUCGUAUAUUUGGCCAUCAUAAUCUUCAUUGAACGAUUGACCGUCUUCUUCACUCUGAUAAUGUUCGUUUUAAUGGAGAAUAAUUUGACUGCCAAUGACUUAUGAAAUGUCAACAUACUUCAACUCGUCGUCGCAUUGUACUUUCCGCUAAUACUGCUGGGUGAAUCAAUAAUGUCAUUCAAUUGAUUGGAGAAUUUUUUACUGAUGAACGAAGUAAACACGGGGACGCUUCUCGGAGAAGACAACACAGUUGCAGUUUAAAUCUCAGAAAUCAAAGGAAGCAACUAAUACAGAAAAUCAAACAGACAAAUACAUCUCGAGAAAUGGGAGUCGCUCUGUCUGAACAUUAAAGAUUAUCUGACCUUUCGGUAUACGUAAAGCAUCAGCGUAUUUUCGCCAAUUAGAUUAGUGGCCAAUUGCCGCCGACUUUGUUAUUGAUAGCCGUACUAGUCUUGUUUUUCUUCGCUACGAAAUCUUAUAUAAAGAUUAGUAUCAAGACCUCAAACGACUCGAAGGUGUAAUGAAGAGUCCUAUAAUCUCGUACGUAACUGCCACUCUGAAUGGUUUACCGACGAUCAGAAGCAGCGGCACUGAAAUUGAGAAAUUAAUGCGAAAACGAUUUGAUGAGUUGCAAGAUCGUCACAGGGAUAUGUGAUAUCUUUUUUUAACAUGCACGUUUAGCGAGUCGGUGUCACUGAUAACCUGCGUAGAAACAAUUCUUUAGUACACGAACCUUUCUAAGGAGGAACCUAUUAUUUCUCGAACCAUAUCUCGGACAAUCUACCGCCACCUACAUGGCCAUCUCAAGAACAAUUGAUCUUGAAGGAUGUCAACAUGAAAUAUCAUAUGAUCCACCAGUUUUGAAGAAUCUGAACGUAUCCACGAGCCUGGCUGGAAAGUUAGAGUGGUUGGACGAACUGGCGCCGGCAAAUCCUUCUUGAUCUCGGCGCUUUUCCGCUUGUUCAAUGAAGAUCUAGAAGGCGAGAUCAAGAUCGAUGACACAAGCACGGUGGGCCUGAGUGAACUGCGCUACAAAAUCUCCAUUAUAUCAUAGGAACCUGUGCUCUUUUCCGAGAGUCUACGUUACAAUCUGGAUCUGUUCAAUCAGUACGACAACAUGAAGCUGUGGGAGGUAUUGCGGCAAGUCGAGCUGAAUGAUGUCACACUGGACCAUGAUAUCUUCUCUGGCAGUCAUAACUUCGGUCAGAGACAACUCAUAUGUCUGGCCAUCUUGAUCCUUUAGAAGGCAAAGAAGCCACAGUAAUCGCAACAAAGUCAUGAUAACGUGCAAAUAUUUACCUUGUCAUGGAUAUGACAUGACAGUAAAAUCAUUGUACUGUGCGAAUGUCCGCUUUGUUGCAGGAAUUUGGUUGCCUAUUUGAGCUGUUACACGAUAAACCAAAUGAUUACUUUUCACAAAUGAUGGAGAAGACGGGCAAUCAGAUAGCGCAAAGUCUUUUAGAACAGGCGAAGAAGGCUUACGAGAAGAAUAACGAUUGUGAAUAGAACUUGUCGACGCAAAAUACUGAGUGUGAGAGCGACAUCACGCUUACAGAAUAAACUGCUUUGUAGAUUUUCUAGUUCUAAAAAUCUUAUACUAAAAAUAUGUAUACUAUAUAUUGUAUAUAAAGUUAUAAUAAAACGACUCAUGAAAUUGAUU